CAUAAGGUUUAGUGAGCCUUCAUUUACAAGUAACCUGAAAGUCGUCUGAAAAAUAAUGUCCACUCAUUUGACGAUCAACCUGUACCUGUUGAUUGUGCAGCUGCCUCCAUCACAACAGAGCAAUGUCUGAUCAACUUUCAAUGAAAGUUCUUCAGGUGUGAGAUCACAUGCAGACUCUUCAUCCAAAGUUGUAACUGGCUCAGGGAGACAGUCCUUGCACUCUGAAGCAGUGUUUCUAUCUGUGGAGUCCUUGUGUGAAUAAAUGCUUGUGAUGUAAUUGAUCUCAGAAAGUUUAUGUGUUCGUCGGUUAUCUCUAAAUAUGAAAUCAAAUAUACAUUUAUGAAUAAAAGCAUUUGAAACAU